rnacentral:rRNA from 1 species
GGGUUGUGAGGUUAAGCGACUAAGCGUACACGGUGGAUGCCCUGGCAGUCAGAGGCGAUGAAGGACGUGCUAAUCUGCGAUAAGCGUCGGUAAGGUGAUAUGAACCGUUAUAACCGGCGAUUUCCGAAUGGGGAAACCCAGUGUGUUUCGUCACACUAUCAUUAACUGAAUCCAUAGGUUAAUGAGGCGAACCGGGGGAACUGAAACAUCUAAGUACCCCGAGGAAAAGAAAUCAACCGAGAUUCCCCCAGUAGCGGCGAGCGAACGGGGAGCAGCCCAGAGCCUGAAUCAGUGUGUGUGUUAGUGGAAGCGUCUGGAAAGGCGCGCGAUACAGGGUGACAGCCCCGUACACAAAAAUGCACAUGCUGUGAGCUCGAUGAGUAGGGCGGGACACGUGGUAUCCUGUCUGAAUAUGGGGGGACCAUCCUCCAAGGCUAAAUACUCCUGACUGACCGAUAGUGAACCAGUACCGUGAGGGAAAGGCGAAAAGAACCCCGGCGAGGGGAGUGAAAAAGAACCUGAAACCGUGUACGUACAAGCAGUGGGAGCACGCUUAGGCGUGUGACUGCGUACCUUUUGUAUAAUGGGUCAGCGACUUAUAUUCUGUAGCAAGGUUAACCGAAUAGGGGAGCCGAAGGGAAACCGAGUCUUAACUGGGCGUUAAGUUGCAGGGUAUAGACCCGAAACCCGGUGAUCUAGCCAUGGGCAGGUUGAAGGUUGGGUAACACUAACUGGAGGACCGAACCGACUAAUGUUGAAAAAUUAGCGGAUGACUUGUGGCUGGGGGUGAAAGGCCAAUCAAACCGGGAGAUAGCUGGUUCUCCCCGAAAGCUAUUUAGGUAGCGCCUCGUGAAUUCAUCUCCGGGGGUAGAGCACUGUUUCGGCAAGGGGGUCAUCCCGACUUACCAACCCGAUGCAAACUGCGAAUACCGGAGAAUGUUAUCACGGGAGACACACGGCGGGUGCUAACGUCCGUCGUGAAGAGGGAAACAACCCAGACCGCCAGCUAAGGUCCCAAAGUCAUGGUUAAGUGGGAAACGAUGUGGGAAGGCCCAGACAGCCAGGAUGUUGGCUUAGAAGCAGCCAUCAUUUAAAGAAAGCGUAAUAGCUCACUGGUCGAGUCGGCCUGCGCGGAAGAUGUAACGGGGCUAAACCAUGCACCGAAGCUGCGGCAGCGACGCUUAUGCGUUGUUGGGUAGGGGAGCGUUCUGUAAGCCUGUGAAGGUGUGCUGUGAGGCAUGCUGGAGGUAUCAGAAGUGCGAAUGCUGACAUAAGUAACGAUAAAGCGGGUGAAAAGCCCGCUCGCCGGAAGACCAAGGGUUCCUGUCCAACGUUAAUCGGGGCAGGGUGAGUCGACCCCUAAGGCGAGGCCGAAAGGCGUAGUCGAUGGGAAACAGGUUAAUAUUCCUGUACUUGGUGUUACUGCGAAGGGGGGACGGAGAAGGCUAUGUUGGCCGGGCGACGGUUGUCCCGGUUUAAGCGUGUAGGCUGGUUUUCCAGGCAAAUCCGGAAAAUCAAGGCUGAGGCGUGAUGACGAGGCACUACGGUGCUGAAGCAACAAAUGCCCUGCUUCCAGGAAAAGCCUCUAAGCAUCAGGUAACAUCAAAUCGUACCCCAAACCGACACAGGUGGUCAGGUAGAGAAUACCAAGGCGCUUGAGAGAACUCGGGUGAAGGAACUAGGCAAAAUGGUGCCGUAACUUCGGGAGAAGGCACGCUGAUACGUAGGUGAAGUCCCUCGCGGAUGGAGCUGAAAUCAGUCGAAGAUACCAGCUGGCUGCAACUGUUUAUUAAAAACACAGCACUGUGCAAACACGAAAGUGGACGUAUACGGUGUGACGCCUGCCCGGUGCCGGAAGGUUAAUUGAUGGGGUUAGCGGUAACGCGAAGCUCUUGAUCGAAGCCCCGGUAAACGGCGGCCGUAACUAUAACGGUCCUAAGGUAGCGAAAUUCCUUGUCGGGUAAGUUCCGACCUGCACGAAUGGCGUAAUGAUGGCCAGGCUGUCUCCACCCGAGACUCAGUGAAAUUGAACUCGCUGUGAAGAUGCAGUGUACCCGCGGCAAGACGGAAAGACCCCGUGAACCUUUACUAUAGCUUGACACUGAACAUUGAGCCUUGAUGUGUAGGAUAGGUGGGAGGCUUUGAAGUGUGGACGCCAGUCUGCAUGGAGCCGACCUUGAAAUACCACCCUUUAAUGUUUGAUGUUCUAACGUUGACCCGUAAUCCGGGUUGCGGACAGUGUCUGGUGGGUAGUUUGACUGGGGCGGUCUCCUCCUAAAGAGUAACGGAGGAGCACGAAGGUUGGCUAAUCCUGGUCGGACAUCAGGAGGUUAGUGCAAUGGCAUAAGCCAGCUUGACUGCGAGCGUGACGGCGCGAGCAGGUGCGAAAGCAGGUCAUAGUGAUCCGGUGGUUCUGAAUGGAAGGGCCAUCGCUCAACGGAUAAAAGGUACUCCGGGGAUAACAGGCUGAUACCGCCCAAGAGUUCAUAUCGACGGCGGUGUUUGGCACCUCGAUGUCGGCUCAUCACAUCCUGGGGCUGAAGUAGGUCCCAAGGGUAUGGCUGUUCGCCAUUUAAAGUGGUACGCGAGCUGGGUUUAGAACGUCGUGAGACAGUUCGGUCCCUAUCUGCCGUGGGCGCUGGAGAACUGAGGGGGGCUGCUCCUAGUACGAGAGGACCGGAGUGGACGCAUCACUGGUGUUCGGGUUGUCAUGCCAAUGGCACUGCCCGGUAGCUAAAUGCGGAAGAGAUAAGUGCUGAAAGCAUCUAAGCACGAAACUUGCCCCGAGAUGAGUUCUCCCUGACCCUUUAAGGGUCCUGAAGGAACGUUGAAGACGACGACGUUGAUAGGCCGGGUGUGUAAGCGCAGCGAUGCGUUGAGCUAACCGGUACUAAUGAACCGUGAGGCUUAACCUUACAACGCCGAAGUGUUUUG